rnacentral:lncRNA from 1 species
ACCAAAUUAACUCAUUUCAUCUUCUCUCCCAUCGAACCAAAAGAGAAAGAAAGGAGAAAAACUUUCCCAAAUUCAUCUUUAUUGUCAAACCAAAUUAUUGAGACAACGCUGGGACAUUAAAGGUUAAAGGGAAGAUGAGGGUCGUAGACAGAUAACCUUAAUUCGGUAUGUGUUAACUUAAUAUAUUCUUAUUCCAUGUUUAACUUGAUGUUUAAUUGUUGAUUCAAAUUUAUCAUAAUUGAAAGCAUGACUUAACUUAUAUGUUUGUUUAUGAUCAUAGUUAAUGACAAUCCAAGGUAUGAUAAGUGAACAGGUAAGUUACUAUGCUUUAUGCUAUGUUUCAAAUAAGAUGGUUAUUAAGUGCUAUAGUUAUUAAAUCAGUGAUAUAAAGUUGUGAUGGAAACUAAAGUAAUGCUAAUUAAGCUAGAUGUUUUUGAACAAUAAUUGAUGUCAUGAAAGAAUAGAAGUGAAAUAAAAACAACAUCAUGAAACAUAUUAAAUUACUUGGGACAUGAGAUUGAGAUGCAAUUCUGGAAGGCACAUUGAUAUAUGGUAAUGUAUGAAGUAGGAAUUUUAAUGUGUUAAGUCGAAUCAAUUCGAUAAUUAGACUUUAAUACUAUUGUUAUGUGUCAUUGUUUUAUGUUUACCUCUUUAAUUCAAAUUAUGAUAACACUACUGAACUUCUUUGCUCAACGUUCAAUUUUAUUUAUCUCUGUAUGUAGGUUUUGACUAGAUCUCAAUAAUGAAGAGGUCGGCAGCAUUCAGGACUCAAAUUCCAACUCAACAAAGUUUUUUUUUAUAGUUUUGUUCCAUUUUGAAGCAAGUUGGCAUGUACCUAAAGUUGUUAUUUGGUCUGGAGUCCAUAUUAACUUUUUAGUACCUAUAAGCUAAUGGCUUGUGAUUAAAGUGUGGUUAUAUUUGUAUAAUGAUAAGUAAUCAUGUAAUGCUAUACCUAUGAUGAAAUACAUGAACUUAAUGACAUGUUUAAGUUAUGUUUGGUGUCUUACUUACAUGCCAAGUAAAUGGAAUUGAUGCAAUAAAUUGUG